CUUGUUUUCUUAGUUUCUUGUGGCUCUCACUGUGUUUGUGUGAACAUGCAUGUCACUUGAAUAUGUGAGGAUGUGGGAAGACUUGUAGCAGAAUGGAUGUUUUAACUGUAUUUUCGUGUUCAAAUAAUUUAAACACUGAACAAAUAUAUACAUAUGCAUGCAUUCAUGGAUUUGUGUGAAUCAUGCAGGUUGUGAUUUGGUCGUUGUAUGGGUGUCAUGUUUGUUUCUAGGCUUCAUCAACUUGUAAUUUGUACAUUUAUUCUUCUUCUUCAAAUCGGAGAAUUUGAUAGCUAAAAAACGUAAUGUUCACACAAACACUCAAAAAAGAAAGAAAAAAAAAAAACUACAUUGAAAAAUGUAAUGGUCCUUAAGAACAGCACUAUGAUGCCAGAUUCAGGACAAACUUGUCUACUAAAAAGGUAUAUUGCAUCUUGCACUUGAAACGGAGUAAAUCUUAUGCUCGA